CCAAAGUGUUAGUGAAGAUGUGGAACAACGAAAAAAUUUUGUGCAUGGCUGGAAACCACUUUGGAAAACUGUUGGGGAUCAUCUACUAAAGCUAAGCGUAUCGAUACCCUGUCUGCGACCCAGAAAGCCCGCUCCACGUGCCCAACAGCCGUGUGAACAUGUGCUGAGCAGAAGACUUGCGCCAGGAUUUUCACUGCAACAUUGCAGCUAUAUCCACAGCGGUUGAACACUGGGCACAGCCUAAAUAUCAACAAGAAACUGGGUAAAUUACCCCAUUUUGUCCUCCUUUUGCAAAUAACUACCUAGACACGAAGACGUGAAUUCUUUGCUACCUGCAGCCAUGCAGGAACGUGGAUCUCACAGAUACGAUUUUGAGGCACAGAUGUGAUACAGAAGAGUACAUGUCGCGUGAUUCCGUUCAUGUGUCGUUGAAGAACACAGAAAAGGUCUUCAUGUUUUGAGAAACUGUACUCGAGGAGCUAUGCUCUAGGAAUCCUGAGGUGUUUUCUCCACACCUGGACCUGAUUUAGGUAACAAGAUCCUAGACUUCAAGCUGAUGCCAUAAAAGAAUGAGUUUUGGGGAGUCUUUGGAAAGCCAAGUGUAUUUUAACAUUUGCAGUGUAAAUCAGUAAGCCAGAGACUAGAGAGAAACAUGCCUACACAUACUUUGACAUUGCUCUUUCAAUGGAUGGAGAUUCAUUUUCCUCCCUUUGAAUAUGAGCAGACAUGGUGAUUCACUUAUAACAGUAGAAUGUGAUAGACAUGACAAUGUAUGAUUUUUGAGCCGAGACUGUGAAAGUCAUUGCCAUUUACACCUUGCUGUCUUGAGUACUCACUUUAGGGGAAGCCAGAAAUCAUGCUGUGAGGACCCUCCACCAGCCCUCUGAGAACAACUGAAGUCUUCUGUCAACAUGCAGCAUCAGCUUGGUGGCCAUUAGGUUAGAAGCAGGCUUGACUGAUCAAGAGACUGGGCGAAGAGCCAAGAGCCCGAGCUAUUGGGGAGAGGGCCCCCCCGUGAGCUAAAAGCUGCAAGAGGACAGAAGGUUCUGAAGUUCCUGCAUUGCCAUAUACCCUGAUGCAAAAGGAAGGCCCUGAGUACAUGUGGACUGACUUCACCUGGGGAUGGUCUUGUCCUCUGCACGUAAGAUGAUACAGUGUGCAUAGAGCACCAAUAAUAUUGCAGAACAUUUCUCCUUCCUCCUUAGGGGGAGAAGUGCUGGGAUGAAAAGGAUCUGGGAACCUACAUUUUAUUGUUCUGGCUAGCAAUUUUCAGUGAUUGUCAAGAAAAGAGAGGAACGUGA